GUAGGUGGCAAGCGUUGUCCGGAAUUAUUGGGCGUAAAGCGCGCGCAGGCGGUUCUUUAAGUCUGAUGUGAAAGCCCACGGCUCAACCGUGAGGUCAUUGGAAACUGGAGAACUUGAGUACAGAAGAGGAAAGCGGAAUUCCACGUGUAGCGGUGAAAUGCGUAGAGAUGUGGAGGAACACCAGUGGCGAAGGCGGCUUUCUGGUCUGUAACUGACGCUGAGGCGCGAAAGCGUGGGGAGCAAACAGGAUUAGAUACCCUGGUAGUCCACGCCGUAAACGAUGAGUGCUAAGUGUUAGGGGGUUUCCGCCCCUUAGCGCUGCAGCUAACGCAUUAAGCACUCCGCCUGGGGAGUACGGCCGCAAAGGCUG
rnacentral:rRNA from 1 species